rnacentral:rRNA from 1 species
AUUGAACGCUGGCGGCAUGCCUUACACAUGCAAGUCGAACGGCAGCACGGGAGCAAUCCUGGUGGCGAGUGGCGAACGGGUGAGUAAAGUAUCGGAACGUGCCCAGUCGUGGGGGAUAACGUAGCGAAAGUUACGCUAAUACCGCAUACGAUCUAUGGAUGAAAGCGGGGGAUCGCAAGACCGCGCGCGAUUGGAGCGGCCGAUAUCAGAUUAGGUAGUUGGUGGGGUAAAGGCUCACCAAGCCGACGAUCUGUAGCUGGUCUGCGAGGACGACCAGCCACACUGGGACUGAGACACGGCCCAGACUCCUACGGGAGGCAGCAGUGGGGAAUUUUGGACAAUGGGCGAAAGCCUGAUCCAGCCAUGCCGCGUGCAGGAUGAAGGCCUUCGGGUUGUAAACUGCUUUUGUACGGAACGAAAAGGUUUGGGCUAAUAAGCUGAGCUCAUGACGGUACCGUAAGAAUAAGCACCGGCUAACUACGUGCCAGCAGCCGCGGUAACAC